GAUGAACGCUGGCGGCGUGCCUAAUACAUGCAAGUCGAGCGAACGGACGAGAAGCUUGCUUCUCUGAUGUUAGCGGCGGACGGGUGGGUAACACGUGGAUAACCUACCUAUAAGACUGGGAUAACUUCGGGAAACCGUAGCUAAUACCGGAUAAUAUUUUGAACCGCAUGGUUCAAAAGUGAAAGACGGUCUUGCUGUCACUUAUAGAUGGAUCCGCGCUGCAAAAGCUAGUUGGUAAGGUAACGGCUUACCAAGGCAACGAUGCAUAGCCGACCUGAGAGGGUGAUCAGCCACACUGGAACUGAGACACGGUCCAGACUCCUACGGGAGGCAGCAGUAGGGAAUCUUCCGCAAUGGGCGAAAGCCUGACGGAGCAACACCGCGUGAGUGAUGAAGGUCUUCGGAUCGUAAAACUCUGUUAUUAGGGAAGAACAUAUGUGUAAGUAACUGUGCACAUCUUGACGGUACCUAAUCAGAAAGCCACGGCUAACUACGUG
rnacentral:rRNA from 1 species